UCGAAUCGUCUAGAAGUUAAUU
rnacentral:miRNA from 1 species